AGUACCGAAGGUCAUGAGUUCAGGCUGCCAAGAAAAGCCUCUAGCCAGGGAGAAGGUGCCCGUACCGCAAACCGACACAGGUAGGCGAGCAGAGCAUGCUAAGGCGCUCGGAAGAACUCUCGUUAAGGAACUCGGCAAAAUGACCCCGUAACUUCGGGAGAAGGGGUGCCUCGGUAGGGUGAAUAGCCCGAGGGGGCCGCAGUGAAAAGGCCCAAGCGACUGUUUAGCAAAAACACAGGUCUGUGCGAAGCCGCAAGGCGAAGUAUACGGGCUGACGCCUGCCCGGUGCUGGAAGGUUAAGGGGAGCGGUUAGGGGCAACCCGAAGCUGUGAACCGAAGCCCCAGUAAACGGCGGCCGUAACUAUAACGGUCCUAAGGUAGCGAAAUUCCUUGUCAGGUAAAUUCUGACCCGCACGAAUGGCGUAACGACUUGGGCGCUGUCUCGACGAGAGAUCCGGUGAAAUUUUAAUACCUGUGAAGAUGCAGGUUACCCGCGACAAGACGGAAAGACCCCAUGGAGCUUUACUGCAGCUUGAUAUUGGACUUUGGUACGAUCUGUACAGGAUAGGUGGGAGCCUGGGAAGCCUGCGCGCCAGCGUGGGUGGAGGCGCCGUUGGGAUACCACCCUGAUCGUAUCGGAGUUCUAACCUGGUACCGUGAACCGGUACGGGGACAGUGUCAGGUGGGCAGUUUGACUGGGGCGGUCGCCUCCUAAAGAGUAACGGAGGCGCCCCAAGGUUCCCUCAGAAUGGUUGGAAAUCAUUCGAAGAGUGCAAAGGCAUAAGGGAGCUUGACUGCGAGACAAACAGGUCGAGCAGGGACGAAAGUCGGGCUUAGUGAUCCGGUGGUACCGCAUGGAAGGGCCAUCGCUCAACGGAUAAAAGCUACCCUGGGGAUAACAGGCUUAUCUCCCCCAAGAGUCCACAUCGACGGGGAGGUUUGGCACCUCGAUGUCGGCUCAUCGCAUCCUGGGGCUGAAGUAGGUCCCAAGGGUUGGGCUGUUCGCCCAUUAAAGCGGUACGCGAGCUGGGUUCAGAACGUCGUGAGACAGUUCGGUCCCUAUCUGUCGUGGGCGCAGGAAAUUUGAGAGGAGCUGUCCUUAGUACGAGAGGACCGGGAUGGACGUACCGCUGGUGUACCAGUUGUUCCGCCAGGAGCACGGCUGGAUAGCCAAGUACGGACGGGAUAAGCGCUGAAAGCAUCUAAGCGUGAAGCCCCCCUCAAGAUGAGAUUUCCCAA
rnacentral:rRNA from 1 species